rnacentral:rRNA from 1 species
AGUGAACGCUGGCGGUAGGCCCAACACAUGCAAGUCGAACGGCAGCACAGUAAGCGCUUGCUCUUACGGGUGGCGAGUGGCGGACGGGUGAGGAAUACAUCGGCAUCUACUUUUUCGUGGGGGAUAACGUAGGGAAACUUACGCUAAUACCGCAUACGACCUACGGGUGAAAGCAGGGGAUCUUCGGACCUUGCGCGAUUGAAUGAGCCGAUGUCGGAUUAGCUAGUUGGCGGGGUAAAGGCCCACCAAGGCGACGAUCCGUAGCUGGUCUGAGAGGAUGAUCAGCCACACUGGAACUGAGACACGGUCCAGACUCCUACGGGAGGCAGCAGUGGGGAAUAUUGGACAAUGGGCGCAAGCCUGAUCCAGCCAUACCGCGUGGGUGAAGAAGGCCUUCGGGUUGUAAAGCCCUGUUGUUGGGAAAGAAAAGCAGCAGGUUAAUACCCCGCUGUUCUGACGGUACCCAAAGAAUAAGCACCGGCUAACUUCGUG